CUACGGGGUGCUCCAGUGAGGAAUAUUGCACAAUGGGGGGAACCCUGAUGCAGCAACGCCGCGUGGAGGAUGACGCAUUUCGGUGUGUAAACUCCUUUUAUAUGUCAAGAAAAUGACGGUAGCAUAUGAAUAAGCACCGGCUAACUCCGUGCCAGCAGCCGCGGUAAUACGGAGGGUGCAAGCGUUACUCGGAAUCACUGGGCGUAAAGGACGCGUAGGCGGGUGGGAAAGUCAGGUGUGAAAUCCUACAGCUUAACUGUAGAACUGCACUUGAAACUUCUAAUCUAGAGUAUGGGAGGGGGAGAUGGAAUUAGUGGUGUAGGGGUAACAUCCGUAGAUAUCACUAGGAAUACCUAAAGCGAAGGCGAUCUCCUGGAACAUUACUGACGCUAAGGCGUGAAAGCGUGGGGAGCAAACAGGAUUAGAUACCCCCGUAGUC
rnacentral:rRNA from 1 species